rnacentral:rRNA from 1 species
UACGUAGGGUGCAAGCGUUGUCCGGAAUUAUUGGGCGUAAAGGGCUCGUAGGCGGUCUGUCGCGUCGGGAGUGAAAACUCAGGGCUUAACCCUGAGCCUGCUUCCGAUACGGGCAGACUAGAGGUAUGCAGGGGAGAACGGAAUUCCUGGUGUAGCGGUGGAAUGCGCAGAUAUCAGGAGGAACACCGGUGGCGAAGGCGGUUCUCUGGGCAUUAACUGACGCUGAGGAGCGAAAGCGUGGGGAGCGAACAGG